rnacentral:misc_RNA from 1 species
AGCAGCCGCGGUAAUUCCAGCUCCAAUAGCGUAUAUUAAAGUUGCUGCAGUUAAAAAGCUCGUAGUUGAAUUUCGGGAUCAAUACGUCGGUCGUGCUUCGGUACGUACUGGCGUAAUUGAUUUCUCCCUUCUGACGAACCAUGAUGUCAUUAACUUGGUGUCAUGGGAAAUCAGGACUGUUACUUUGAAAAAAUUAGAGUGUUUAAAGCAGGCUCACGCUUGAAUACAUUAGCAUGGAAUAAUGAAAUAGGACGUUCGAUCCUAUUUUGUUGGUUUUUAGGAUCAACGUAAUGAUUAAUAGGGAUAGUUGGGGGCAUUAGUAUUCAAUUGUCAGAGGUGAAAUUCUUGGAUUUAUUGAAGACUAACUACUGCGAAAGCAUUUGCCAAGGAUGUUUUCAUUAAUCAAGAACGAAAGUUAGGGGAUCGAAGACGAUCAGAUACCGUCGUAGUCUUAACCAUAAACUAUGCCGACUAGGGAUCGGAUGAUGUUAAUUUUUUAAUGACUCAUUCGGCGCCUUAC